rfam:Gasterosteus aculeatus cont1.007556, whole genome shotgun sequence.
UUAAAAAUGCAAUGUAAGUCGCUUUGGAUAAAAGCGUCAGCUAAAUGACAUAUA